rnacentral:rRNA from 1 species
GCGUGAGAAUCUGGCUUUAGGUUCGGGACAACAGUGGGAAACUGCUGCUAAUACCGAAUGUGCAGAGAUGUGAAAGAUUAAUUGCCUGAAGAUGAGCUCGCGUCUGAUUAGCUAGUUGGUAGGGUAAAGGCCUACCAAGGCGACGAUCAGUAACUGGUCUGAGAGGAUGACCAGUCACACUGGGACUGAGACACGGCCCAGACUCCUACGGGAGGCAGCAGUGGGGAAUUUUCCGCAAUGGGCGAAAGCCUGACGGAGCAAUACCGCGUGAGGGAGGAAGGCUCUUGGGUUGUAAACCUC